GGACGAUUCGUGAAAGUGUAUUUUGAGCUGUUAAGAAGACGCAGCGGGAAUUUAGAGCGGGAAAUCCUACAGGUCAGGAGAACCAGGACGGUGAUCGGGCUGCUUAGAGUAGUGUUAUGUGAAUUACAGCAUUAUAUUGUGAGGUUUGUUAUGCUCAUUUAGAGCUUUGCAAUUUUACUUUGUAAGAGUGAAUUGUAAUAAUUAACUCGAGGGUUUCGAGUUUUUGUGUUGA